UGAGUCUUCACCCAAAAGACGCUUACGCUAUGCUUGUAGGCGCCGCCCAAGGAUGGGGCCGCGACCGAUCAGGUUGUUGGUGAGGUAAUGGCUCACCAAGCCUUUUACCGGUGCGGGCCGUGAGAGCGGGAGCCCGGAGAUGGGCACUGAGACAAGGGCCCAGGCCCUACGGGGCGCAGCAGUCGCGAAAACUUUGCAAUAAGCGAAAGCUUGACAGGGCUAUCCCGAGUGCCAUCCGCUGAGGAAGGCUUUUACCCAGUCUAGAACGCUGGGGGAAUAAGGAGAGGGCAAGUCUGGUGUCAGCCGCCGCGGUAAUACCAGCUCUCCGAGUGGUGUGGAUGUUUAUUGGGCCUAAAGCAUCCGUAGCUGGCUAGGUUAGUCCCUUGUUAAAUCCACCGAAUUAAUCGUUGGAUUGCGGGGGAUACUGCCUGGCUAGGGGACGAGAGAGGCAGACGGUAUUUCCGGGGUAGGGGUGAAAUCCUAUAAUCCCGGGAAGACCACCAGUGGCGAAGGCUGUCUGCUAGAACGCGCCCGACGGUGAGGGAUGAAAGCUGGGGGAGCGAACCGGAUUAGAUACCCGGGUAGUCCCAGCUGUAAACGAUGCAGACUAGGUGUUUGGACGGCCACGUGCCGUUCUAGUGCCGCAGGGAAGCUGUUAAGUCUGCCGCCUGGGGAGUACGAUCGCAAGAUUGAAACUUAAAGGAAUUGGCGGGGGAGCACCACAAGGGGUGAAGCUUGCGGUUUAAUUGGAGUCAACGCCGGG
rnacentral:rRNA from 1 species